rnacentral:tRNA from 2 species
CUAGGUGUAGCUUAGCCCGGAAAAGCGUCCGGUUUGGGGCCGGAAGAUCGGGGGUUCAAAUCCCUCCACCUAGACCA